rnacentral:rRNA from 1 species
AGCAGCCGCGGUAAUUCCAGCUCCAAUAGCGUAUAUUAAAGUUGUUGCAGUUAAAAAGCUCGUAGUUGAAUUUCGGGGUUAGUAGGUUGGUCAUGCCUCUGGUAUGUACUGGUCUCACUGAUUCCUCCUUCCUGAUGAACCUUAAUGCCAUUAAUUUGGUGUUUUGGGGAAUUUGGACUGUUACUUUGAAAAAAUUUAGAGUGUUUAAAGCAAGCUAACGCUUGAAUACAUUAGCAUGGAAUAAUGAAAUAGGACGUUUGACCCUAUUUUGUUGGUUUCUAGGAUCGACGUAAUGAUUAAUAGGGAUAGUUGGGGGCAUUAGUAUUCAAUUGUCAGAGGUGAAAUUCUUGGAUUUAUUGAAGACUAACUACUGCGAAAGCAUUUGCCAAGGAUGUUUUCAUUAAUCAAGAACGAAAGUUAGGGGAUCGAAGACGAUCAGAUACCGUCGUAGUCUUAACCAUAAACUAUGCCGACUAGGGAUCGGAUGAUGUUAAUUUUUUAAUGACUCAUUCGGCGCCUU